GUUCUGAGCUGCAAGAGCCCAGCUACUCGCCGAACCCGGGCCGCCUGCGUUCAAUCUUUGGGAUCAUCAGCAUGGAAUCUUCAUUAUCCCCUCUCUCCUGGGCACCUGCUUCCCGCGCACCUGGAUGAGGACCAGAGGAAUUCGCGAAUUUCCGAAUCACCGCAGGAAAAACCAGCUGGCCUGAAUCAAAGCAAUUCUGGGUAAAAGACUUCCCAGAUGAUCUCUCAACGCCUUGGCAACGCUUGGCGACUGGGAGCUAGAACCAUGAGUUGUUAAUGUGUGCACGGAAGCCACAAGUGUGCAGGACGCAAGCUGGGUUAUUGGAAGCGGACGACACCAAGGAGGCGUUGCCGCGGAUGUGGUGGACGAUGCCAAGUCGUCUUUUAAAAAAGGAAGUGAAGAAUGAUUAAGAGGGUCACGCCCUCUACCACUCCAACCUCUCUAAUCAGUCUCUUUCUGCUCCGUCUGCUGUACAUGCACCUGCUCAGGUGAGACCUCAAGGAAAAAUAAUCCUGUGGGUCCACCUAAUCUGGAAAAUCAAGUCUUCCAAUUUUUUUUCACUAAUAUUAUGUGGGUGUGGAAGGGGAAGGAAGGAAAUUAUCCAACUGUUUCCUGCAGGCAGAGCAAGUCCUUACAGAGCAGGCUGCCCUCAGUGAUGAUGAGUUUUGGAUCUCCCAGAACAUCCCACCUCUUAAAUGUGUAGCGUCUUGUAAGUAUCCUUCCCAAUCAAGUUUAUUCAUAGCUUACUGAGUUCUGUCUCUCCUUCUCUGUUAAAUGGCUUUAUUGAGAUAUAAUUCAUAAAUAAAAAAACUGCACGUUUGAUAUGUGCAGUUUGAUGUGUUUGGAUCUAUGUAUACAUUGGCAAUACUAUCACCACAAUCAAGAUAAUAAACAUAUCCAUCAUCUCCAAAAGUUUCCCUGUGUCUCCUCAACUCCAUACUUUUUUGUGUUAAAAGCACUUAGCAGGACGAUCUGGGGAGGAGCAGUCCCUGGGAUCACUGUGUUUAUCUGUUGUCUCUGUACCCCACUUUAAAGUGUCCGAAAGUUUUCUCACACAGUAAUGUAAUCAACCCCAUUUUGUGGCUGUGGAAAUUGUCAGGCACAAAGGUUAAGCAAAUUAGCCAAGGCCAUGAAGCAGAUGAGUGAGACACCUGGGAGUGGAUCCAGGACUCACAACUGCUCAGUUGAUAUAUUGCCUUCCAUUGCUUCACAAGGCUGCGAGCUGUCCUGCUUCUUCCCAACACACUUGACUGAAGUCAGGUAUUUAAGUUUCUAUAUCUAAGCUGAAGUCAACAGUAUUUCCAUAAGUAGGAUCUUGUCACAACAGAAAAAAUGAAUUAUAAGCAAUGAAUAGAGGUGAAAUAUAUUCAUUCAGAGUCAGUGUGAAUACAUUCCAUCUUUCUUCACUUCCUUUAACCUCUCAUUUUCUCCAGGCUGCUUACAAAUGUAUUCAAUGUGUUAACAAAAAAAUUUAAUAAAGACAUUGCCAGAAUAUCAGCAUUGGGAACAAAGAAAAAUACUUUCUAUUUGGUGUUAGCAUAACUGUGCAUUUUAACUAGGUGUAUAUCUCUCUGUGUAUAAUUAACAUGCUAUUUGUAAAUAAAGUCAAAUAUUAAAUAUAUGAAGUCACCAUUUUGAUUUAUGUUUUUCUACAAAGCACAACCACUCUCUAACAAAUAUGUAUCUGACAGAUUGAUCAAUUAUGGUCUCUACCAGGUCAAAUGAGCUCACUUCCCUUCAAACCUUACAAGCCUAAGCAAUAAUGUGGUCUCCCAGACACAAAGAGGAAACAGCAAGCUUCUCUACUCCAUCGUGAUUGUUUCCUGGGCAAGCGUGUUUCCCAGCUGCAAUCAUAGAUGCCCCAAAAUGAUGCCAGUGUCAGACCCUGCCGUGCUGUAGCUCCCUUCAGGGGACAUCUCAACUGCUAUUUUCC
rnacentral:lncRNA from 1 species